AUUGAACGCUGGCGGCAUGCCUUACACAUGCAAGUCGAACGGCAGCACGGGAGCAAUCCUGGUGGCGAGUGGCGAACGGGUGAGUAAUAUAUCGGAACGUGCCCAGUCGUGGGGAUAACGUAGCGAAAGCUACGCUAAUACCGCAUACGAUCUAUGGAUGAAAGCGGGGGAUCGCAAGACCUCGCGCGAUUGGAGCGGCCGAUAUCAGAUUAGGUAGUUGGUGAGGUAAAGGCUCACCAAGCCGACGAUCUGUAGCUGGUCUGAGAGGACGACCAGCCACACUGGGACUGAGACACGGCCCAGACUCCUACGGGAGGCAGCAGUGGGGAAUUUUUGGACAAUGGCGCAAGCCUGAUCCAGCAAUGCCGCGUGCCAGGAUGAAGGCCUUCGGUU
rnacentral:rRNA from 1 species